rnacentral:rRNA from 1 species
UAAGGAAUAUUGGUCAAUGGACGCAAGUCUGAACCAGCCAUGCCGCGUGAAGGAUGAAGGUCCUCUGGAUUGUAAACUUCUUUUAUCUGGGACGAAAACAGGAUUUUUGUCUCAAUUGACGGUACCAGAGGAAUAAGCACCGGCUAACUCCGUGCCAGCAGCCGCGGUAAUACGGAGGGUGCGAGCGUUGUUCGGAAUUACUGGGCGUAAAGCGCGUGCAGGCGGUCUCUUAAGUCUGGUGUGAAAGCCCGGGGCUCACCCCCGGAAGGGCACUGGAGACUGGGAGGCUAGAGUACCGGAGAGGAAGGUGGAAUUCCUGGUGUAGCGGUGAAAUGCGUAGAUAUCAGGAGGAACACCGGUGGCGAAGGCGGCCUUCUGGACGGCUACUGACGCUGAGACGCGAAAGCGUGGGGAGCAAACA